rnacentral:lncRNA from 1 species
GGAAAAAAAAAACACAGAGCUAAGGUGCUAGAGGAACCAUCGUCUGCGCGCUGCAGAAGCCAGGCGCACUCUAUAGCCAGAGGACUGAACUAGAGAAGGUCUGGGCAUUGCUGGCCAGUGCAGGACUGAAUGAAUGCCCGGCUUGUUAAGCAAACACCUUGAACUUAAUUAGCAUCGUGGAUCUCAAGCGCUGGAAGGACAGUGAACUGCAAGCUACCCCGACCUCUCUCUCCUCCCACCUGCGACCCAGGGAAGAGAGCUCAGAGCCCUCAGCUCCAGGCACCCCCACCCCCUUUCUUGACACCGAAUUCUAGAAGCUGCGGGAAGUGGUGUCCCAGUGCAGCCGGAUCAAGUAAACCCACCGGAGCAUCCAUGCCACAGUGGAGCGGUGUGGGCUGCUUUCCCGGUGAGGGGAUGAAGAGUUCCUUCCCUUGAGUCAGAUGUCGUCAAGUCAUCUGCUGGGCGAAUUCCGUGCCCUACAAGGGCCACCCUUAUCUGACAAACCCCUAUAGCCUACUGGGGAUUUAGGGGAAAGAGAUAGAGGCAGAAUCCUUUGGUAGUAGGGAGUUCCAGGUUCAGGGAAAGGGAGCGGAAGACUGCCCCGAACGUAGGCAUCCAGUGUAAGGAGAGGCAUAGUUGCUCUAAGGAUGACUUUAAACCGCGCAGAGGCUCAGCAUAUGGUUUCCAGGUUUGGCGGCACAACACAGAAGACUCUGAGCUGAAGGGGCCUCCAGACACGGAAACCAAAUAAUCCCGAUUUAAAGAGAUCUGAGUAGCAGGAGGCUGGAUUUUUGGUUAAACUACAAUUAAGAGAAGAUAAUUAAGCCCGGAGUCGUGCAGCUUAUUAAUAUUUAUAGCCCGGAGUGAGAGGUCCUUCGCCACCCAGGAGAGGAACCGGAGUCUCCCAGGCCAGAGGCUUCGCAAUGACUGAGAAUGAGAAAGAACGACGAGCAAAAUGGGGUGAAUCGUCUCUGCGCUUCUCCCUUAAUUACCGGAGCAGGAAAGUCAGUCGGGAGAGAAGGUGGACGAAUGACUCUGUCUCGGGGGGGGGGGGGGGGCUACGAAGAGAGAUGGCUAUUUCCAGUCCGGACCCCAUCUCUUCCUUCAGGACCCCAACGGUGCCUUCAAGUGUCCCUGGCUCCCGGGAUUGAGGGCUAGUAAAGGAAAGGAUUUUGUAAGAUUCCCCAGCCUUAACGUCACGCGUCAGGAGACACGGUGAUUAAGUGCUGUCCUGGCUGAGGGAUGGACCUGCAAGACCAUCCUCUGGCCUCGAACUUGCUCAAGUACGGUUUGUGGGAUUCAGGGAGGCAGAUCCUGCCCGCGCCCCCACGGGCCCGCAGGAUCCCGGAGGGCCGCAGCGCGUCCGGCCUUUGAUUUCCAUACCGCUGCGGUGGCAGGCCGCGAAGGGGACGGAGGGGCUUCACCGGUACUCCGAUCUUCCCUGCGGUCUGCUGCCCGCGAGCCACCGUGCCACCCACCACUGAGGACGAAGUAGGGAGCUUCAGCAAUUUGCCCUGAACGUAAUUUCUGCUGCUGUUGAACCCAGAUGGAUGGAGGUGGGUGGAGGAGGGGCGAAUGCCCUGGGCCUUUGCUCCCCACCGCCCUCGCCUCCCCUUGCUAGCCUCCAGCGGCCUCCGCAGUAGCAGCCUCGGUGCCUGGUCCAGAUCGAUUCUCCGUAAUAAACGCGGGGUUCCGCGGGGGGCGCCACUGCGGUUCCCAUGGCAACCCUUUGCUUCACUGCAGUCCAGGACUCCUGGUCACGCGUGCUUAAAUGAGGACGGAACUGUUUGCAGUGACCGCGGUAGCGGCCAGCCUCUUCCUACUCAUGCUUUUCAUCUCGGUCUACGUUGGCUCUAGUCCUGACCCACAACCUCUGUCCCAAAACUGUUAAUUGAAGAAGAAAGGGGGUGGCGAUUUGUCCUUGUCACGAGGCGUGGUCCCAAUGCAUCUCUACCCAGGCUAGAUGUGGAGACGCCAGAGAUUCUUGCAGAGAUGUGCCCAGCUCCUCCAAACAGCUGCAAGGGCUGAUUAGCAUUGACGCCAGCGAAGGAUGAGGAAGGAUUCCUGUGUGUCCUUAUGUGUCAAGGGGAACAUCAAUGGAUUUAAUUGUGAUGACUGUGGGUUAUAGCAUAAAGGCUUGCUUAACAAAGAGAUGUCGAUGGCAUUAUAAGUGAGUUAUUUUUACACAUCUGUAUACACACACCAGAAAAGGAAAUGUUUUGGUAGGCACGAGUGAAUUUUCUCUCUAUAAAAACGUGCAGUUCACGGAUGGUGGAUUUUUAAGCACGUGUUGGUGAUGUUAAUUUACAGUAAUGAUUAUUCUGUUCUGAAAAUGAAACCAUACCAUCUCUUUUUUACCAUACCACACCUUUUAACACUAGCCUGGAUACAUGAUAGGGUAGCUCUAGCGACUGUCUCAGCUGUUGUAUCAAAGGAGAGUGAUCCUGGUAGAGGAGUAUUUAUUCUGCAACAACGCCAAAUAAAAUUUGCAAACAAAAA